rfam:Halodesulfurarchaeum formicicum strain HSR6 chromosome, complete genome.
GGGCCGGUAGCUCAGGUAGGCAGAGCGUCUGGCUUUUAACCAGACGGACGGGGGUUCAAAUCCCUCCCGGCCCG